rnacentral:misc_RNA from 1 species
AAAACGUGAUAUGUCAUGUGAAUUGCAAAUAUCAGUGAGUCAUCGAAUUUUUGAACGCAACACGCACUUUCUAUGCACUAGUGGUAUAGGAAGUAUAUUUGUUUGAGUGUCACAUAUGAUAACAAUCGAUACUGUGUAUAUAACGUAUACAGUUCAAUCGGCAUUUGACAGUUUUCUUGUCUGAAAUCUGUUUAAAUACAACUGUGCUGUUGCUUACUUGUAUCCAGUCUGUAAACAAAGUGUAAUAGUUAAUGUGUAAUUAUAUAUACGCUGUACCUUUGAAUCUCUUGAUUGGUAUCAUCAGACAGUACUCUACAUUUCUAUUUAGAUAUGGUUAAUACCAAAUCAUUAAAAAGAAUUUUUCAUGACAUCAAAUCAAGUAAGGUUACCCGCUGAAUUUAA